UCUCUCUCCCCUUCUUUCCCCUCUCUUCUUCUUUCCCCUCUCUUCUCUCUUCUGUCUCCUGCCCACCACCACCACCGCCACUAACCACCGCUACCACCAAGUCCGAGUUCGUGAGUCAUCUUCGUUGAAGUCAGGGUCGGAGGAGAAAAUUGAUGGCCAAUACUGCUUCUGCAAUUCAGCUACCGAGCAUCUGCAAUUCAGGGAUCUCUUCAAAUCCAUUUGUUUAUUUUUUUUCUUUUUAUUUUGGCAAGUGUAAAAUUACUGAUUAUGAAUUUCAAUUAUAUUAUGUAUUAAUUUAUUAUGUAUAUGUAUAACAUUUGGUGUGUAAUUACUGAUUAUGAAUUUCAAUUAUAUUUGGUGUUGUAUGAGUUUAUUGCUAAUUUUUAAGUGAAAAAAGACCAAAAAAAAAAUUUGGACAUUUUUGGCACCGGUUAACCGGUGCUAAUUUUAAGUUUUCCCAGCGGUUCAAACCGAUGGCUUUAAA